GACGUAGGGCGCGAGCGUUGUCCGGAUUUAUUGGGCGUAAAGAGCUCGUAGGCGGCUUGUUGCGUCGGCUGUGAAAACCCGCAGCUCAACUGUGGGCUUGCAGCCGAUACGGGCAGGCUUGAGUUCGGUAGGGGAGACUGGAAUUCCUGGUGUAGCGGUGAAAUGCGCAGAUAUCAGGAGGAACACCGGUGGCGAAGGCGGUUCUCUGGGGCUGUGUCUGACGCUGAG
rnacentral:rRNA from 1 species